rnacentral:rRNA from 1 species
AUUGAACGCUGGCGGCAGGCUUAACACAUGCAAGUCGAGCGGGGGAAGGUAGCUUGCUACCGGACCUAGCGGCGGACGGGUGAGUAAUGCUUAGGAAUCUGCCUAUUAGUGGGGGACAACAUCUCGACAGGGAUGCUAAUACCGCAUACGUCCUACGGGAGAAAGCAGGGGAUCUUCGGACCUUGCGCUAAUAGACGAGCCUCAGUCGGAUUAGCUAGUUGGUGGGGUAAAGGCCUACCAAGGCGACGAUCUGUAGCGGGUCUGAGAGGAUGCUCCGCCACACUGGGACUGAGACACGGCCCAGACUACUACGGGAGGCAGCAGUGGGGAAUAUUGGACAAUGGGGGGAACCCUGAUCCAGCCAUGCCGCGUGUGUGAAGAAGGCCUUAUGGUCGUAAAGCACUUUAAGCGAGGAGGAGGCUACCCUAGUUAAUACCUAGGGAUAGUGGACGUUACUCGCAGAAUAAGCACCAGCUAACUCUGUGCCAGCCGCCGCGGUAA